CAUUCAUUUAAACACAAAAUUUCAGCAAACCAAAGGUGAAAUCCGUAGCUCUUCAUUUCCAAAUUCUCCAAAAUUUCAAAUCUUCAUAUCUUUUUCGUUUCUCAACGAAAUUGAGCGAUUCUUGCGGCCACGGAACGAGGAAGUGAUUAUCUACAACUCUAUGGCAUCAAUUUAAGUGUAAUUGUAAGCUUGUAAUGAAGGUUAUGGAUGAUGAAAUUGGAGCUUUAAACCUACGGCAAUAGAGACAUCAUCAAGACUCGACGAAGCGACUAUCGACAAGGCUCGAAGGGAACGGAUCGAGAUGUCUUCGUGUUUAUUUGAAGAAUUUGGAUAGCAAGUGGGAUGGUAUGAUAUGAUUUGAAGAGUUAAGCUUCCGAAGUUUUAAUUCUCGGAAGUCAUUUGUAUAAGAAGAAAAAGAAGGUUUUCAUUCUAGCAGUCCGCAGUAGUCUAGAUAUUUUAACUAGAAUUUUGUAUAACGCGUUUUUAACUCUGAUAUUAUUUGUAAAUGGUGUCACAUGUAUUUUAAUAUAUGAAAUAUGUUUUGAUUUGCGAAAAAAUUUACACAGGUUUUUAGGCUUGCUACGGGAUUUGGAGCUACCACUCCCAUUCCCUAGCGCCGGUCGCGGCUCAUAAAUUUGGGUCGUGACAAAGGUGGUAUCAGAGCAAUGGUUUAGUGUUCCUAGGCCAUUGUUCUUUUGUGAUUGGAGUAUAGGAAAGA